GACGAACGCUGGCGGCGUGCCUAAUACAUGCAAGUCGAGCGAGUGAACCUAACUGAUCCCUCCGGGGUGACGUUAGUGGAUCUAGCGGCGGACGGGUGAGUAACACGUGGGCAACCUGCCUGUAAGACUGGGAUAACUCGCGGAAACGCGAGCUAAUACCGGAUGAUACUUUGAACUGCAUGGUUCGAAGAUGAAAGGCGGCGCAAGCUGUCACUUACAGAUGGGCCCGCGGCGCAUUAGCUAGUUGGUGAGGUAACGGCUCACCAAGGCGACGAUGCGUAGCCGACCUGAGAGGGUGAUCGGCCACACUGGGACUGAGACACGGCCCAGACUCCUACGGGAGGCAGCAGUAGGGAAUCGUCCGAAAUGGACGAAAGUCUGACGGAGCAACGCCGCGUGAGUGAUGAAGGGUUUCGGAUCGUAAAACUCUGUUGUUAGGGAAGAACAAGUACAAGAGUAACUGCUUGUACCUUGACGGUACCUAACCAGAAAGCCCCGGCUAACUACGU
rnacentral:rRNA from 1 species